rnacentral:rRNA from 1 species
AUGGCCUCCUCCACGAUGCCGCGCCACAUCGCUCUCCUCCUGCUCCUCCUGGCGUCCACGCGCGCGGCGUCCGCGGCCGGCGCCGGCGCCUGCGCGGCCGAGAAGUUCCCGGCGGGGAAGACAUAUGCCAAGUGCGAGGACCUCCCGCAGCUGGGCGCCGCGCUGCACUGGACCUACGACGAGGCCAAGUCGUCGCUCUCGCUGGCGUUCGUGGCGGCGCCGGCGGGUGCCAACGGGUGGGUGGCCUGGGCGCUGAACCCCACCGGCGAGGGCAUGGCCGGCGCGCAGGCGCUCGUGGCGCUCAAGGGCUCCGGCUCCGCCGCCCCCACCGUUAGGACGUACAACAUCACCGGCUACGUGCCGCUCGGCAAGGCCUCCACGCCCAUCGCCUUCCCGGCCACCGACCUCGCCGCCGACUCCGGCAGCGGCGGCAAGAUCCGGCUCUACGGCAAGCUGCAGCUGCACAGCGGGAUGAAGGCGGUGAACCACAUAUGGCAGGUCGGCACCUCCGUCACCGCCGGGGCCCCCGACAAGCACGCCUUCGCCGCCGGCAACCUCGCCUCGAAGUCCAAGCUCGUCCUCUCGGGCAAAGCGGCCUCCGCGGCCUCGCCUUCGCCGGCGCCCGCCCCCAUGGCCGGUGGCCCGUCCGGAUCGGCCGGCAGCGACGGCGGCGCUUCGGCGACCACGGCGCCUUCAGCCGGCAAGUCCCCGUCGGGCGCGGCCGCGGUCGGCGUGUCGGCGCCGGCACUCCUCGUGCUCGCGUUGAUGGGCCUCCUCGCGGUGGUAUGA